rnacentral:tRNA from 1 species
AAUUAAUGAGCUUGAAUAUAAGCAUUUGUUUUGAAAACUUAAUAAAGAAUAAUUAAUUCUAUUAAUUU